GAGUAGAAUUGGAUUUUUCUUUGAGGAACUUUUAGAAGAUUCCCAGUUUGAGUGGAGUGAGCUCUUCCCCCAGCAGAAGGAUCCCCCUGGUUGACCCUGGCGUGUCCCCUGGCCUGGUGAAGAGAAGAAGAUAAUCAACCAGCUCUUCUACCAGACACAAAUCCAAUAUUUUGAGGAAACAAAUAUUCUUCUGGAAGGUAAACUAUAACAGUGAGCUGUUGAAGUAAUUUGAGGUGUUGUAGCCAACCUUCAGAAGAGUCUGUCCUUGAUGCUGUGGAAGUGGGAGCAAACUUUUUCAUUUUGGAAUUGUUGGUGCUCCAGGGGAAGGUGUUGAACGCGAAUUCAGGGCAAAGGCUGGUGAGAGCUGCAGGCCGGAUGGGAUAUUUCACACUCGGAGCUCGUGUGCGAGUUUGGUCCAUGCAUUAACAAAGGCUGCAUCUCUGCAAAGUCCCAGGCUGCGCAAGAACUUGGGCUGUGGAAAGUAUUUUGUGCUGCCUAGGGAUGUAGUUCUGAGCCUCACAUUUGAUGUCACUCAGCUCUCUUCACAGGGCAGGGACACAAAACAAAUCCUUCUCCUGCUGAAGACCAAGGACAACUUUCAGGCCCAAAAGCACAAACAACGGUGGCUGGAGGGAGGAACAAGAAGGAUGGGACCUCACAACCUGAAGCUGUAAUUGGACAAUUAAACCUCAAGAUGCAAAUGGACCAAAACUUCUGAAAAUGUGGCCUGGUGACCCCACACCGGGUUGGACAAGGAUCCUUUAGCCGGAGCUCGGCACCGCAUCCAGAGCCUCACGACAGGAGCUGUGCCUCCCUGCGCCUCGAGUGGAGUCAGAGCGCUUGUCCAGGCAUUUCCAUGUGAUUUUCCACCUGAUUACUCCAAACUGGAUUUCUCCCUUUGUAUCAAUCCCUGAAGAAACAAAUGACUUCUGGAGCUGUGAUGAAAACAAGAUUAAAGAAGAAACCAUUGGCAAUGGAGUGCUUCAGCAACAGAACUGCUGACUUUUUUUCAGUGGAUAUUAAGGUUUAUAGGUUUGUCAGUGGCAUCACAGCUAAAGAUUAACAGGGCUUCCAGUGCUUGUUCUUGGAAUUUAACAAUAAACACCAGAAUAAAUUCAUCCAGAUGCUCUUUCCAGAAAAGACCUGUCUGCCCAUCAGUACCCUGUGUCCCAGAUAAAGCUGUGAGCACAGCCAGAUGCAUCCAUGGAAUCUGUGCAAAAAAAAGAAAGUGCAGCUUUCACUGAGGAGCAGGGUAACUCUGCCUUUGCAAGCAGAAUUUUGGGGUUGGGGUGAAAUCAUCCAAGGACAAAGAACCAGAGGAUGUGUACAUGAUGUUUUGGAGCCUGCUGGAAGCAUGUUUUGCUGCUUGGCAUCGUAGUGGCUGCCCCUAACUUGAGCCCUUCCCACCUGGAACGUUGCUGGGUUUUUGGAAGGGUUUUUGGCUGGAUCAAUCUCAAGUGUACUGCAUCCAUCUCAUGCAGCAGAGGAACAGUGUCAUAUUGCAGCUGAGAAGGAUCAUAAUGGAAAGCGACACUGAAAAAUCACAGAGAGCUAUGGUAAGAUAUUGUCCGGUGUGCAGUGUAUCAGGCAGCCUGGAUAAUGGAUUGCCAUCCCAAAUAUCAAGCAAUUCAAGUGAUGGAUUUUCAUCCCAUGACAAGUCAGGACCUAUUGCUCUCGGGGUCAAAAUAGAACUGGUGGUGCUGCCAUAGUUCAGAACAGCACAGAGAUUAUAUGAAGCUUUCUGUUUCCAUGAAGUUCCUCAUUUUCUCACAAAGUUCCUGAUUUAUAAAUGGGUUGGAUCAGGAGGAGAUGCAUCUCAACUCCAAGACCAAGUUUCUCCCUAAAAGAAGUGUACAACCAGUUGGGUGUCUGUAGCAAGAUUCUCUCCUGCAGGUGCUCAGUGUUUUCAAAGUUCAAACCCAGAGAGCAGAUCUUCAGGUUGUGCUCGGAAGUCGUGAGGUGCCAUCGGGUUUGGGGAGAAAUCUCUAUCAAGGUCAUGCUGUUUCCUGCAUCAGUUGCUCGCUUACAUCGGGAGGACCCUGCGAUGCCUUGAGAUGCCAAUUACUCUGAUUUGGAAUUUUGUGCGCAGUAAUUAAAGAGCCAGGUAGCAGCAGACAUGUGUUACCCCGAGAUAACACGCUCCUUGGAAGUAUCACGAGGCAGGAGGUGAAGUGAGUGCCUCCAGUGACCCGGGAAGCGCGUUUAUCUCAGCACUGCACCAGCCUGGGGGGGCAUUGCCAGUGCACACCGGCUAUCAGCACUAUCAGCUGCGCUGGGAUUGAUUGCACCAUGUCAAACAUAUGUUUAAAACAUGUUCAGCCUUGUGCAUCAUGUGAUAAUUAUGUCUGACUCCGAAGGACCAAGGUAUCAGGUGUGAGGAGAUAGGAGCAUGAAGUGUUUGGGUUUGGUGUUUCUGUUUUCACUGGGAUAUGCAUGACUGGCAAAAGUUAUCUCGGAAGGGACGUGAGCUCCGGAGCGCCGCAGCUCCAGCAAACCCAACAUCCAUAAUGCAGGAGAGUGCUCACAUGUAAUUGGCUCAAGUGGAGCAUUCAGAGCUGCUGUGUAUUAUUCCUCUUUUUUUACAAAGGAAGGUGUGCAUGAGUGUGUGUUUGCAUGCCCAGAGCGAUCUCCACCGUGUUUAUUUUUAACCCGUGAUUAUUUUUGCCCCCCUUGCCCGGUGCUGUGAGUUGUUUCAUUUUUCAGGUGACUGACAGGGAACAUAUUUCCAGCAGCACAGAGCAGCCUGGCACUGUCUCUGGGAUGAGGGCUGGCUGCUCAGCACAGCCCUGGCAGACAAAGGGCUUUGUGCUGCUCCUGCCCACAGCCAGGCACCACAUCACACACAGGAGAAAGGUCUAUCUUUAAUCUGAGCUGCUCAGGAAAUCAAAGGUGGGGGGAUUAAAACAAGAGCGGUGACUGAUUUCCGUAGGAGAUCGCUUUCCUGCUUCAUUUGAUAGAAUGAACAGGAGAAUCAAAGCAAGGUUAGAAGCCUUGUGUACCUUUUUUUUUCCCAGCAAUUUUUGUGAUGUCAGUUCACAAGGUAUUAUAAUAAUGGAACACAUGUGCGAUAAUAAUUUUAGAAAAUUUCCUCUUUUUUUACCCUUAGAAUAAUUUACAUAUAACUGCUCUGGCAAGGUGUGUGCCUUCAUCAGGCUUGUAGUUAAACAUGUUAAAAGCUGAUUAAAUCUGCAGCUGUUGGUUUCUUUUGCUUUCUUUUGAUCUUUGCUAAAAACAACCCCAGUGCCUUCAUCAGGAUUGCAUUUCAAAGGGAUGGUGGGAUGAUGCUUCAACACUGGAUUUGUACAGCCAGUAAUGAACAGCGAAAAAUCUGGUUCAUGCUCAGAGGACAGAGCAGUGAGAGGAAGGCAGGAGCUGUGAGAAGAGUCCCCAGGCUUGGCCAGGCUCUCAGAUGCAACCUCCUGACUUGGGAAUUGUUUUGCUCGCUCUCAGCAAGCAAAGGUGGGUGGGCUGUGCCUGGCAGCUCCACCUCAAGGUCUCCCAUGCAGGAGUGGCCCAGGAGAAUGUGGCAGGGACAUUUUCUGGGCUGGCACUAACACAACGACACCGGGUCCCCCUCAGAUCUCACCUCCUCUAACCAAGAGGGAAAUGUUGUGUCCUUUACUGGCAAUGCCUCCCUAUAAGUGAAAUGUGCUUCUCUCGUGUGUUUUAGACAAGCUGGUGAUCUUUUUUCUCCUGUACAAUGAAGUUAAGGUGGCAGUGCAGGAUCUCGGCUUAUUCCGUGCUGGCUUUCUUUGUACUUCAGUGGAAUCCACAUGGGAUGGUGAUAUCCAGCUCUGCAUUACUGCUGUUUCUCAUUUUAAUGACCCUGGUAAAUCUUUAAUGAUUGCCAUCACUGUCAGAAGGGCACAAAGGGCCCUCAUCUGUCUUGAUGCGACCUAAGAAAAUAUGCUCACAGAUGUCAGUUAAAAUAAUGGCAUUGGUGGUAGGUCACCGGGAUUUUUAUGGGUAUCCACCUCUUCUUGCAAAAAGCAGCACAGAAAUCCCACUCUUAAUCAUUAUAUUCGCUUAAAAAACCCUAAAUGUCCAUGUUUUAGGUGUUUUUUUUGGUGUUUUUUUUUUUUUUUUAAUUAAGUAGGGCAGCACAUUCCAGACAAAAAGAAUUGAGACAGGCACUUCACAGGAAUGGGCCUCCUCAUUUCUGUAUUCCAGAGCGCCUGAGAUAUAAGCUCUUAUUUUAAAUGAGGUGUUUCUGAGUGUGAGAUUUUCAUCCAAAACUUGCUCAAACGUCCACGUUAGAGGAAUUCGUUCGACAUUUGAACAAAGCUUUUCCCACCACUUGAACAUUGGUUCAUCACGAGUGAUUUCCCUAUUGUAGCAUAGCCUUUAAGACAUAAUUCUCUCAAAUUAUGGGGUGUAUUAGCCACUCUGGGAGUGAGAAACUGGAUAUACACAUCUCCUGUUCUCAUUAAUAGCACUUGCGUGCCUAAUUCACUGAGCAGCACAGAGAAAGUGUUGGCCCCGUGGGUCAACAUCAAUGGACUCAAUGAGGUCUUCACCCUCUAAAAAUGUCAUUAGUGGGAGUAAGAGCUGGCUGUGGGCCCUGAUGUUUGCUACAGCCCCCUGGAGAGCAUAAAUCUGAUACAGAGGUGCUCAGGCUUGCCUGGGGCAGCUCCCACCCGUUGUUGCAUUGUCUACCACUCUUGUUCACUCCAUUUCUCCUGAGUCACCAGCUCAUCCGAGCGCAGGGACAGACACUGAGCCCUUGCCACCCAUCUCCACCCUUCCCAAAAUUAAAUGUUCAAGCCAAGCCAAGGCUUGUUCACAUCUUUGAAUAAGUUCAGUUCCCACCAGAAGUUGUCCCCACAUAGUUUUUCAUGACUGGUUCUGUUGCAAGGCUCAAACUGAGUUUGCAG